CACGUAGGGCGCAAGCGUUGUCCGGAAUUAUUGGGCGUAAAGAGCUCGUAGGUGGUCCGCUACGUCUGUUGUGAAAAUCCAGGGCUUAACCCUGGACUUGCUGCGGAUACGGGCGGACUAGAGGUAGGUAGGGGAGAAUGGAAUUCCCGGUGUAGCGGUGAAAUGCGCAGAUAUCGGGAGGAACACCGGUGGCGAAGGCGGUUCUCUGGGCCUUACCUGACGCUGAGGAGCGAAAGCGUGGGGAGCAAACAGG
rnacentral:rRNA from 1 species